rnacentral:misc_RNA from 1 species
UCUGAGUUGCCGCCGCCGCCG